rnacentral:rRNA from 1 species
CAGUAGCCACGGGAAUACGAAGGGGGCUAGCGUUGCUCGGAAUCACUGGGCGUAAAGGGUGCGUAGGCGGGUUUUUAAGUCAGAGGUGAAAUCCUGGAGCUCAACUCCAGAACUGCCUUUGAUACUGAAAGUCUUGAGUUCGGGAGAGGUGAGUGGAACUGCGAGUGUAGAGGUGAAAUUCGUAGAUAUUCGCAAGAACACCAGUGGCGAAGGCGGCUCACUGGCCCGAUACUGACGCUGAGGCACGAAAGCGUGGGGAGCAAACAGGAUUAGAUACCCCAGUAGUCCCUGUCUCUUAUAC